AGACCAUUCUUUUUCUUGGAAACUGUACGUAGUUCUUUGAGUCAUAUAACUAUGUUCUGAUAUGAUUAUUAACAAAAAUCAACUUGUAGUGCCCGCCUCUUGACCUUUUUUUCUUCUCAAAAACUACAAGUAGUUGUUUGAGACAUAUAUCUAUGUUCUGAUAUUGUCAAAAAAUCAAUUUGUAGUGCCUCAUGAUUGAUGAAGCG
rnacentral:misc_RNA from 1 species